rnacentral:rRNA from 1 species
CGUGGAUGAUGUGGAUUAAUUCGAUGCAACGCGAAGAACCUUACCUACCCUUGACAUGUCCGGAACUUGCCAGAGAUGGCUUGGUGCCCGAAAGGGAAUCGGAACACAGGUGCUGCAUGGCUGUCGUCAGCUCGUGUCGUGAGAUGUUGGGUUAAGUCCCGCAACGAGCGCAACCCUUAUCAUUAGUUGCUACGCAAGGGCACUCUAAUGAGACUGCCGGUGACAAACCGGAGGAAGGUGGGGAUGACGUCAAGUCCUCAUGGCCCUUAUGGGUAGGGCUUCACACGUCAUACAAUGGUCGGUACAGAGGGUUGCCAAGCCGCGAGGCGGAGCCAAUCCCACAAAGCCGAUCGUAAUCCGGAUUGUUCUCUGCAACUCGAGAGCAUGAAGUCGGAAUCGCUAGUAAUCGCAGGUCAGCAUACUGCGGUGAAUACGUUCCCGGGUCUU